rnacentral:rRNA from 1 species
GAUGAACGCUGGCGGCGUGCUUAACACAUGCAAGUCGAACGAGAAGUGAAGACGGAACCCUUCGGGCGGAAGGCUUUAUUUCGAGUGGCGGACGGGUGAGUAACGCGUGGGUAACCUGCCUCAUACAGGGGGAUAACAGUUGGAAACGACUGUUAAUACCGCAUAAGACCACAGCACCGCAUGGUGCGGGGGUAAAAACUCCGGUGGUAUGAGAUGGACCCGCGUUCGAUUAGCCAGUUGGCGGGGUAACGGCCCACCAAAGCGACGAUCGAUAGCCGAUCUGAGAGGAUGACCGGCCACAUUGGGACUGAGACACGGCCCAAACUCCUACGGGAGGCAGCAGUGGGGAAUAUUGCACAAUGGGGGAAACCCUGAUGCAGCGACGCCGCGUGAGUGAAGAAGUAUUUCGGUAUGUAAAGCUCUAUCAGCAGGGAAGAAAAUGACGGUACCUGAGUAAGAAGCCCCGGCUAACUACGUG